rnacentral:rRNA from 1 species
GUGUCAGCCGCCGCGGUAAGACGUAGGGGGCGAGCGUUGUCCGGAUUUAUUGGGCGUAAAGAGCUCGUAGGCGGCUCAGAAAGUCGGGUGUGAAACCUCCAGGCUCAACCUGGAGACGCCACCUGAUACUGCUGUGGCUAGAGUCCGGUAGGGGAACACGGAAUACCCGGUGUAGCGGUGAAAUGCUUAGAUAUCGGGUGGAACACCAGUGGCGAAGGCGGUGUUCUGGGCCGGAACUGACGCUGAGGAGCGAAAGCGUGGGUAGCAAACAGGAUUAGAUACCCCUGUAGUCC